rnacentral:tRNA from 1 species
AGGAUUAUAGUUAAUUAUAACAUUUGAUUUGCAUUCAAAAAGUAUUGAUAUUCAAUUAAUCUUA